CCCUGGUUAGCCCAGUGGGUAGAGCGCUCCACUGGAAAUGGAGAGGUCCCUGGUUCGAUAGCAGGACCAGGCG
rnacentral:tRNA from 2 species